GACGAACGCUGGCGGCGUGCUUAACACAUGCAAGUCGAACGGAAAGGCCCCUUUGGGGGUACUCGAGUGGCGAACGGGUGAGUAACACGUGAGUAACCUGCCCUUGACUUCGGGAUAACUUCAGGAAACUGGGGCUAAUACCGGAUAGGAAUCCUUGCUGCAUGGUGGGGGUUGGAAAGCUUCGGCGGUUUUGGAUGGACUCGCGGCUUAUCAGCUUGUUGGUGGGGUAGUGGCUUACCAAGGCUUUGACGGGUAGCCGGCCUGAGAGGGCGACCGGCCACAUUGGGACUGAGAGACGGCCCAGACUCCUACGGGAGGCAGAAGUGGGGAAUAUUGCACAAUGGGCGGAAGCCUGAUGCAGCAACGCCGCGGGCGGGAUGACGGCCUUCGGGUUGUAAACCGCUUUCAGCAGGGGCGAAGCUUGUGGUGACGGUACCUGCAGAAGAAGCACCGGCUAACUACGUG
rnacentral:rRNA from 1 species